CACCGCGGUUAUACGAGAGGUCCAAGUUGACAGACAGCGGCGUAAAGCGUGGUUAUGGAAACUACCAAACUAGAGCCAAAUGCCCACAAGGCUGUUAUACGCACCCGAGGGCCGGAGAUUCGCCAACGAAAGUGGCUUUACAAACCUGAACCCACGAAAGCUAUGAAA
rnacentral:rRNA from 1 species